rnacentral:rRNA from 1 species
UACUCGAGUGGCGAACGGGUGAGUAACACGUGGGUGAUCUGCCCUGCACUCUGGGAUAAGCCUGGGAAACUGGGUCUAAUACCGGAUAGGACCAUGCUUUAGUGUGUGUGGUGGAAAGUUUUUUCGGUGUAGGAUGAGCCCGCGGCCUAUCAGCUUGUUGGUGGGGUAAUGGCCUACUAAGGCGGCGACGGGUAGCCGGACUGAGAGGUUGGUCGGCCACAUUGGGACUGAGAUACGGCCCAG